rnacentral:rRNA from 1 species
UACGUAGGGUGCGAGCGUUAAUCGGAAUUACUGGGCGUAAAGCGUGCGCAGGCGGUUUUGUAAGCCAGAUGUGAAAGCCCCGGGCUUAACCUGGGAAUGGCAUUUGGGACUGCAAGGCUUGAGUGCGGCAGAGGAGACUGGAAUUCCUGGUGUAGCAGUGAAAUGCGUAGAUAUCAGGAGGGAUACCGAUGGCGAAGGCAGGUCUCUGGGCUGACACUGACGCUCAUGCACGAAAGCGUGGGGAGCAAACAGG